AUGAACGCUGGCGGCGUGCCUCAUACAUGCAAGUCGAGCGAACAGACGAGGAGCUUGCUCCUCUGACGUUAGCGGCGGACGGGUGAGUAACACGUGGAUAACCUACCUAUAAGACUGGGAUAACUUCGGGAAACCGGAGCUAAUACCGGAUAAUAUAUUGAACCGCAUGGUUCAAUAGUGAAAGACGGUUUUGCUGUCACUUAUAGAUGGAUCCGCGCCGCAUUAGCUAGUUGGUAAGGUAACGGCUUACCAAGGCAACGAUGCGUAGCCGACCUGAGAGGGUGAUCGGCCACACUGGAACUGAGACACGGUCCAGACUCCUACGGGAGGCAGCAGUAGGGAAUCCUCCGCAAUGGGCGAAAGCCUGACGGAGCAACGCCGCGUGAGUGAUGAAGGUCUUCGGAUCGUAAAACUCUGUUAUUAGGGAAGAACAAAUGUGUAAGUAACUAUGCACGUCUUGACGGUACCUAAUCAGAAAGCCACGGCUAACUACGUG
rnacentral:rRNA from 1 species